rnacentral:tRNA from 1 species
GGGGCCGUAGCUCAGUCGGGAGAGCGCGUCGUUCGCAAUGACGAGGUCAGGGGUUCAACUCCCCUCGGCUCCACCA